AUAACUGGUUUGUGGUGGUCAAGCGUUCCGAGCGACGUCGCCUUUUGAUACUUCGAUGUAGGUUUUUCCUUUCACUGAAAAACAGAAUUCACCAAGCGUUGGAUUGGUCACCCACUAAUACCAUUUCAAACUUUUUGGAAACUUU
rfam:Schistosoma mansoni strain Puerto Rico chromosome 5, complete genome